ensembl:misc_RNA Metazoa_SRP Metazoan signal recognition particle RNA
GCCGGGUGUGGUGGUGCACGCCUGUAAUUCCAGCUACUCAGGAGGCUGAGGCAGGAGAAUUGCUUGAACCCAGGAGUCGGAGGUUGCAGUGAGCCGAGAUGCGCCACUGCACUCCAGCCUGGGUGACAGAGUGAGACUUAGUCUCAA